AAGUGGAGAAAGUGGAGGAAAAAGAAGUGGAAGUGGAUGAAAUGGAAGGGAAAAAGAGGAGAGAAGAAGAAGGGAGGGAUAAAAGGAAGGGACAAAGGAAGAAAUGGAAGAGAAAGAGACGAGGACGAAACAAGGGAGGGGAGGAGAGAAAGAAGAGCCAGGGGAAACAAUGGAAGGGAAUGGAAGGGAAGGAAGAAGACGAAAAAACAGGGUAAUAAAUGGAAACGGAAGUGAAAGGACAGAGGAAGAAAAAGAAGAGGAAAAAAAGUAAUAUUAUAAAUCAACACAAAAUUCAACUUAUACAAAAAAAAAUACUAUAUCAACACAAAACAAAGUAUAAAUGCAAAGUAAAUGACCGAGAGUUAAGUAAAUAAUAUAGAUGAAAUGACGAUAUAAACAUCAGAGUCAACAGUAUAGAUGCCAUAAACAAAAUAAACACAAUGAACAUGAAUAAGAAGAUGAAAAAUGGAUAAUAGCGUGGGUGAUUAAGAGUAUGAGGAGCAGCGAGUAGCGGGCUUUUUUUAUUAUUGUUUCCUUUUUUGUGUGCCCUUGAGCUGUCUCCUUUGUUAAAAAAAAAAAAAUGAGGAGUAUGUGUGAGAAGUAGUGAGUGGGUAAGGGCUGAGUAUGAGUGAAUAUGAGUGAGUGUGUGUGUGUGAGUGAGUGUGAGCGGCCAGGUGUAGUUGUAGUAAUUAACACAAAUGAAUAUGUAUACCUGACUGGCGCUCACACGAAUGCAAAAAAAGAAAUAAAAGAAUGAAGAUCAAUCAGUCAAAAAAAUUGCUGGUUUACAUUCGUGAAAAAAGAGAAAAAAAAGUUAAAUUGAAACUGCGGAAAAAUACCGCGCUAGCAUUUGUGGACACGGGGAAAAAAAGAAGUUGAAAUUCGAAGUGGAGAAAAAUUAAAAAGAGCGUUAUUAAAAAUUACACUUUCCAAAUAUAGGCUUUGAGAGAACUUGCUCAAAAGUGUGUUCGUAUUUCAAGUAAGAUUUUCGUUCAAGAAGUCAGGCAUUCGUCCUAAAGGUAAGAAAAUCGUCCUAAAAAUGAGUUCUCCUCCUAAAAGUCGUCCUAAAAGUAAGGCACCCAUUCUAAAAGUAAGAUUUCGGUCCUAAAAGUAAGACACUCAUUCUAAAAGCAAAAUUUAGGUCAUAAAAGUAAGACACUCAUUCUAAAAGUAAGAUUUCGGUCCUAAAAUUAAGACACUCAUUCUAAAAGUAAGAUUUCGGUCCUAAAAGUAAGACACUCAUUCUAAAAGCAAAAUUUAGAUCUUAAAAGUAAAACAUUCAUACAGCGGUCGUAAUAAUAAGGGAAUCGUUCCAAAACUAAGAAAAUCACCCUAAAGUAAGAAUACCGUCGUACACGUCGUCCUGGAAGUAAGAAAAUCGUCCUAAAAGUUAAAAAAAAGUCACCAUUAAAGUAAGUCAUCGUAAAAGUUAAAAAAAAGUCGUCCUAAGAGUAAGACAUUCAUUAUAAAAUCUGUCCUAAGAGUUAAAAGUCGUCCUAAAAGUAAGACAUUCAUUAUAAAAUCUGUCCUAAGAGUAAAAGGUCGUCCUAAAAGUAAGACAUUCAUUAUAAAAUCUGUCCUAAGAGUAAAAAUUCGUCCUAAAAGUAAGUCAUUCAUUAUAAAAUCUGUCCUAAGAGUAAAAAGUCGUCCUAAAAGUAAGUCAUUCAUUAUAAAAUCUGUCCUAAGAGUAAAAAGUCGUCCUAAGAGUAAGACAUUCAUUAUAAAAGCUGUCCUAAGAGUAAAAAGUCGUCCUAAAAGUAAGACAUUCAUUAUAAAAGCUGUCCUAAGAGUUAAAGGUCGUCCUAAAAGUAAGAUAUUCAUUAUAAAAUCUGUCCUAAGAGUAAAAAGUCGUCCUAAAAGUAAGAUAUUCAUUAUAAAAUCUGUCCUAAGAGUAAAAGGUCGUCCUAAAAGUAAGACAUUCAUUAUAAAAUCUGUCCUAAGAGUAAAAAGUCGUCCUAAAAGUAAGACAUUCAUUAUAAAAUCUGUCCUAAGAGUAAAAGGUCGUCCUAAAAGUAAGACAUUCAUUAUAAAAUCUGUCCUAAGAGUAAAAGGUCGUCCUAAAAGUAAGAUAUUCAUUAUAAAAUCUGUCCUAAGAGUUAAAAGUCGUCCUAAAAGUAAGACCUUCAU